AUUGAACGCUGGCGGCAGGCCUAACACAUGCAAGUCGAGUGAUCGGCGGACGGGUGAGUAAUGUCUGGGAAACUGCCUGAUGGAGGGGGAUAACUACUGGAAACGGUAGCUAAUACCGCAUACCAUCAGAUGUGCCCAGAUGGGAUUAGCUAGUAGGUGGGGUAACGGCUCACCUAGUCGACGAUCCCUAGCGGGUCUUAGAGGAUGACCAGCCACACUGGACCUGAGUCACGGUCCAGACUCCUACGGGAGUCAGCCGUGGGGACUAGUUCACAAUGGGCGCAAGCCUGAUGCAUCCAUGCCGCGUGUUUGAAUAGGGCCUGCGGGUUUUAAAGCACUUUCAGCGGGACGGCGUUACCCGCAGAAGAAGCGCCUGCUAACUCCUUGCCAGCAGCCGCGGUAAUUC
rnacentral:rRNA from 1 species